CUGAACCAGCCAAGUAGCGUGAAGGAUGAAGGCUCUAUGGGUCGUAAACUUCUUUUAUAUAAGAAUAAAGUGCAGUAUGUAUACUGUUUUGUAUGUAUUAUAUGAAUAAGGAUCGGCUAACUCCGUGCCAGCAGCCGCGGUAAUACGGAGGAUCCGAGCGUUAUCCGGAUUUAUUGGGUUUAAAGGGAGCGUAGAUGGAUGUUUAAGUCAGUUGUGAAAGUUUGCGG
rnacentral:rRNA from 1 species